rnacentral:rRNA from 1 species
GACGAACGCUGGCGGCGUGCUUAACACAUGCAAGUCGAGCGGUAAGGCCCUUUCGGGGGUACACGAGCGGCGAACGGGUGAGUAACACGUGGGUGACCUGCCCUCAGCUCUGGGAUAAGCCCGGGAAACUGGGUCUAAUACCGGAUAUGACUCCAUGACGCAUGUUGUGGGGUGGAAAGCCUUGUGCGGCUGAGGAUGGGCCCGCGGCCUAUCAGCUUGUUGGUGGGGUGAUGGCCACCAAGGCGACGACGGGUAGCCGGCCUGAGAGGGCGACCGGCCACACUGGGACUGAGAUACGGCCCAGACUCCUACGGGAGGCAGCAGUGGGGAA